AUGCAAUCAUCAGCCUGCUAUCAUUAUUUUUGGAUCCAUCCACUGGUUGUUACCAUCACUCUAAAUUUCUGCAUGCUCUCCUUACACAAUCUCACCAUUGUUUUUGUAUGCAUGUCAGAUUUUGUACACAGUCAUGUUGAACAAGUAGAGAAAAAGAGAAGAGUUUUGCACAGCAAUACAAUGUCAUGCAGACAUCGCUCCAUGGUGGGUUCAAUGACAAACUCUCCCCACCCCUCUCCAGAUUGUAAUCCAGAGGAAGAUAUCUGUUCUGAGGCGGAUUCAGAUGCCGCUGACCACUUCUAUUUACCCCCGAAGGUGUUUGCUCUACCUUGGCAUGAUGAUGUUAGUCAUAUCAUGCAUAUGUUGCCUUGA
rnacentral:rRNA from 1 species